rnacentral:rRNA from 1 species
UACGUAGGGAGCAAGCGUUGUCCGGAAUCAUUGGGCGUAAAGCGCGCGUAGGUGGCUCUAUAAAGUCCGUUGUGAAAGUCAAAGGCUCAACCUUUGAAAGCCGAUGGAUACUGUAGAGCUAGGGUCCGGAAGAGGCGAGUGGAAUUCCUGGUGUAGCGGUGGAAUGCGCAGAUAUCAGGAGGAACACCAUAGCGAAGGCAGCUCGCUGGGACGGGUACCUGACACUAAGGCGCGAAAGCGUGGGGAGCGAAGAGG